GAUUUCAAAUGGAAAAGCCAUAAACAGCAAAGUUGUAAAACAUAUCUAAGAUCUACAACUUUUAUGUUGGUCACUUCUUCAUCCGACAAAGUGAUAGUACCAAUGUUUACAAAAUUGACAUAUCUGUAUUGAUGUUUAUAAACCAGAUGAGAGAAAUGUGAUUUUUGUGAAUAAUAUAACUGUCAUUUUGUCGGAUGAAGAAGUGACCAAAAUAAAAGUUGUAGAUCUUAAUAAGUUGUACAACUUUGCUGUUUAUGGAUUUUCCAAUUGAAAUC
rnacentral:pre_miRNA from 2 species